rnacentral:lncRNA from 1 species
AAGCCAAGAGCAUAGCAUUCAUGUCAAACACUGAAGAGGAAGAUGAGGAAGGUGGUCAAGAUAUUGAUGAAGAUCUGGAAAAUGAGAUAGCAAUGCUGGGAAGACAGUUCAACAGACUGGUGAAAAGGGUAGAUGUGAGAGCAAAGGGCAAUGUCAAGAACAUCGCAUCUGACAUCAGUAAAUCCAACAACUUUGGUAAGAA